CCUACGGGUGGCAGCAGUGAGGAAUAUUGGUCAAUGGACGAGAGUCUGAACCAGCCAAGUAGCGUGAAGGAUGACGGCCCUAUGGGGUGUAAACUGCUUUUAUAGGGGAAUAAAAUGUGACACGUGUGGGAUGUUGGAUGUACCAUAUGAAUAAGGAUCGGCUAACUCCGUGCCAGCAGCCGCGGUAAUACGGAGGAUCCGAGCGUUAUCCGGAUUUAUUGGGGUUAAAGGGAGCGUAGGUGGAUUGUUAAGUCAGUUGUGAAAGUUUGCGGCUCAACCGGAAAAUUGCAGUUGAAACGGGCAGUCUUGAGUACAGUAGCGGUGGGCUGAAUUCGUGGUGUAGCGGU
rnacentral:rRNA from 1 species